GUAUCCUACGGGACGUAGCAGUGAGGAAUAUUGGUCAAUGGACGAGAGUCUGAACCAGCCAAGUAGCGUGAAGGAUGACUGCCCUAUGGGUUGUAAACUUCUUUUAUAAAGGAAUAAAACGAGGCACGUGUGCCUUUUUGCAUGUACUUUAUGAAUAAGGAUCGGCUAACUCCGUGCCAGCAGCCGCGGUAAUACGGAGGAUCCGAGCGUUAUCCGGAUUUAUUGGGUUUAAAGGGAGCGUAGAUGGGGUGUUAAGUCAGUUGUGAAAGUUUGCGGCUCAACCGUAAGAUAGUAAUUG
rnacentral:rRNA from 1 species